GUGAGGAAUAUUGCGCAAUGGAGGCAACUCUGACGCAGCCAUGCCGCGUGCAGGAAGAAGGCGCUACGUGUUGUAAACUGCUUUUAACCGGGAAGAAACCCCAGGACGUGUCCUGGGUUGACGGUACCGGAGGAAUAAGCACCGGCUAACUUCGUGCCAGCAGCCGCGGUAAUACGAAGGGUGCAAGCGUUAUCCGGAUUCAUUGGGUUUAAAGGGUGCGUAGGCGGAGCGUUAAGUCAGUGGUGAAAUCCUGCAGCUUAACUGUAGACUUGCCAUUGAUACUGGCGCUCUUGAGUGCGCUUGAAGUGGGCGGAAUGUGCCGUGUAGCGGUGAAAUGCUUAGAUAUGGCACAGAACACCAAUUGCGAAGGCAGCUCACUAAGGCGAUACUGACGCUGAGGCACGAAAGCGUGGGGAUCGAACAGGAUUAGAAACCCCUGUAGUCC
rnacentral:rRNA from 1 species